CGCUCCGCGCCUCGGCGGUCCCCCAGGUUUUCCCGUCGGCGUCGUCAAACGCUGUUGGGGGGGCCGAAAAGGGCCGGGCGAGCCGGGCGGCGGUUUAAAGACUUGGGGCGGCUCGGGCGGCCCGCCGUGGCGGGCGGCGGUGCCGGGCGGCGGCGGCGGCAGGUGUUGCCGGGCGGUGGUGCGGCGCCACUGAGGGGUGGGGAGCAGCUACUCCCGCCGAUCCCCUGCGGUGGUGUCCGUCGCCACCGCCGCGCUCCUCCGCCGUCGUCGUCGCCGUCGUCGUCCCGCCGCCGCUGGGGUAACUGCGCCGCGCCGGGGAGGGCGCCCUGCCCCCCUCUCCGUGGCCCGGCCUGGCGGAGAGGCGGCGGCUGUGCGGCCGCCAGGGCCGACCCUUCGCCUGUCGUAAGCGGCGCCGGAGAGAGAAGAGCGCUCUCUCUCUCUGCUCCUUCCUCGCCGCGGGGUCGCGGCCGCGGGGCCCGCCAGCGCUCUCUUUCCUCGGCCGCCGCCGCGCGGUCUCGCGUGCGGCGCUGGCGCCCGCGUCGGCGCGCGGCCGCCUCUCCCCUCGACGGCCUUUUCUUUCCUCCUCGAAGGCACCCGGCGCCGUCCCGCCCGGCCGUCCCUGGCUCGACCGCCCGCCCGCCCGGGGCGGGCUCGGCGGCCCCUCCGUCGGCGGAGGCCCGCGAGCGCUGGCGACCCCCGUGCGCGGCGGCGGCGCCGCUCGGCGGGUGUCCCCCACUUUCCCCGCGGGGACGGUCCGGCGGAAGGCGCCCGCCCGUCGCCGGGCGGCGGUCCCGGCCCGCCUUCGUCGCGUCCUCCGUCGCCCUCCGCCGCCGCCGCGGCCGCGUGGGCCGGGGAAGGCGUGCGGGCGGCGGCGGGCGCUUCCCCGCCCGGUCCCGCGCGAAGCGAGGAGAGCGGGCGUUGCCCCGGCUCAGCGCCCGUCACGCCUUCCGCCCGGGCGCUGCCCCAGGCGAAGGGGCCCACGACGGUGCGAGGCGGCGGCGGUCCCGGGAGUGCGGCCCGCGGCGGCGGGUCCCGCCGCCCGGCGGGCCUCGGCGCUGGCGACGCCGCUCCGGGUCUCGGUGGCGUCCGCCUCGGGCCGGGCGGCGGAGCGCGCCCGCCGCGGCGCUUCGCCCGCCUGGCGGGAGCGGUCCUUGCGGGAGGCCGGCGGGCCGGGCGGGUCGCCGCGUGGCCGUCUCGAGCGGGGAUCGGGAAGGCCGCUGGGGAGAGAGAGCCGGCGGCGGCGGCAGCGGCGCUCCGCCGGCGAAGCCCAGCUGGGCGGGGCCGAGGAGGGAAGCCGGCGCGGGGGCGGACGGCCGCGCCCCGGCCGCGUGCGUGUGGGGGGUCGUUGCCGGUUGCGUCGUCCCGAGAAAGCGAGAGCGGGCGGGCCGCCGUGCCCCCCGCGUUCGGCGCGCGCCGCCCGGCCCUCCAGCGCGGAGGCCGGGCCCGAGCCCGGCGCCUGGGCCGCCUCCGAAGGACGGCACGUGA
rnacentral:lncRNA from 1 species